rnacentral:tRNA from 1 species
GAGGGUAUAGCUCAAGUGGUAGAGUACGUGCUUAGCAUGCAUGAGGUCCCAGGUUCAAUCCCAAAUACCUUCA